UAUUACUGAGGUGGGGCGGGGUAGUGAUACUAUCGAUAAGAAUGAUUUUUAUCAGAUCUUUUUUCAUUUUUGAGAGAGUGAGAGAGAGAGAGAAAAAGAGAGUGACUUUUGUUGCUGGGACGAGAUAACGAUUUGAGCACUUUUUUUCUGUAAAAUAUACGUCAUCGUUUGAUUCAAAUUCAAGGUGCAAUCAUUCUUGUCUCUCAUCUUUUUAUGUAUUUGCGCGUGUAAUCUUGAAAAUAUAUGUAUAUAUACAUAUAUGUAUAUGCGGUGUUCUGGCAUGGCAAUGAAAACCGACAAUGACGACGACUCUCGAUAAACAAUGAGGCCGAUAUGUCUCAACGUUCAGUUAUGUAAGCAAAGCAAUUAACCAUUAACAGCAAUACCGUCGUCGACUUUAAACCUAAUCUACGAUCUAAUAAAAGGAAGAAAAAGGGAAAAAAAAGAAGAAAGAAAAAGGAAAUGGAAGAAGAAAAAAAUUAUCAAAUUUUAUCUCUUCGUAAUUUUUCUUCUUUUUUUAAUUUUAUCUUUAAAUUCAUCAUCGAUAUUUUUACACUUGUGAUAGCAAAAGUUUUCGUUUCUAAGAGAAUGUAUGUAUAUAAUCGUACAGUUACAGUGGUAUAACCGGACGUGAUGGUUGUGAGAGUUAUGCAGCUUUUGCUUAAUUCGGAGAGAGAGAGAGAGAGAGAGAGAACGCGCGCGGUCGAAUUAUAAUGAAGACGGACAAACGAAUGGACGAAUGUAAUCGUCGUUUUCCGGGAUGAUGUUAAAACGUAAGGAAAAUUGUCUUUUACAAUUGCAUAAAAUAAAUAUUAAGUUUUCACGGUCAUUUUUAUUCGAAAGUAGAAAGAGUGUAUGCGUGUGUGUGUUAGAGGGAGAAAGAAAGAGAGAGAGAGAGAGAGAAAAGAAAAUUUUCCUAAUUGUUAGAUAAUAUCAUGAGGAAAUUUAAAUUUUUAUUUUAUCGCGCCAUUGUCGGCCAUAAAGGCGGUGACACAUCGCGCCAUCUAUCAACUUUCAGCUCAAGUUUCUACCAACCUGAAGGAUAACUAAUAUGAUUUCGCAUAAUCGGUAUUCUUUCUUAUGUAAUAAUGACAAGAAGAACCCAUGCAGUAUAUAUUUUAUGUAUAUAUCUUAUACAUAAAUCUAUUUUACUUACAGCAUAGGUAGCACGAAUUUUUUCGCUAUCGGACCGAAUCGGAAUAUGUUAAAUUUCAUUUGACGAUGUUAUACUGUAACAUAUAACGAUCAUAAACAAAUUUUUAGAACGAAUCAAAAUCUUUUUCUUUUCUUUUUUCUUCGGCGAAAAUAAUAAUGAAUCGUUUCACCUAUCUAGUUUCUUUUUCUUCUUUCUCUUGUUUGUUAAUAAUGAUAAUAAUAAAAAGAAAAAUAUAAAAAAAAAAGAAGAAAAAUAAAAAAAAUUCACGUGACAAUCGUAACGCCUCUCAUUAGAGCGUACGUACGAAAGAGAUUUUGUUUACAAAAUCUAUUGGCAACAACAUCUGUCGUACAUUAUGCAAGAGAGAAAUCGAAUGACGGUAUUACGAGAGUACGCACUCUAAUUUUGUCUUGUACAUAUGUUCAAACAAGACAUUGGCACUUGUAACAUCCUACAUAAUAUACAUAAUGAUGAAUAAUAAUAAGAACGAUAACUUGGCGCAUAAAUGGUUUCAACAAAUUUAUAUAUCUUUUUGUUUUUUAUGCAGAGUAUAUAAUAUACACUUUCAUUUUAUUUGUUACGUGUUUAAUAUACUUAUAAUUAUUUGUUUUAUCUUUUUUAUAUCAUUAUAAAAUCAUCAUCGAUCAUUUUAAUAUAUACAUAUUUUUUUAUUCAUAUUAAAAAUAUACAUAUUUUUUUUUUCAACAUGUCCAUAAAUAUAUCUCUCUUUCUUAUUAAACUCUCUUUCAUAAAACGAAAGUAUAAAUGUGUAAUGCCAAACUAUGACAUAAUAAUAUCUUGGACGUCGUUGCAGAUAUAAAAAGCUUUCCGAUAUUUCUCAUUUUGAUAUUUUUAUAUCGGAAAUUAAUUGGAUCGUAUUAGAGAAAGGUAAUUGUCGAUCGUUUGAAAAUACGAACCCCAUGAUGCGUGUAAUGUCAAGGACAUUUAUAUAUUUAUGUAUGUAUGUAGGUAUAGUAAUCGUUCGGUGCUAAACACGUUAAUAAAUUAUUUCGAUAGAAAUAUUUUAGGACUAAAAUAAUAAAUUGCAAAGAAAUUUUUGAAGAAAAAAGAGAAAAUCUGAUAAAACUCGGCAUUUCAAUUUUAUGCAUAAUGUAAAUUUACAUAAACGUGUAUCUUUGUAUGAAUUUAUCUUUUUUCUUUAUUAUUAUUAUUAUUUACUAUUUUAACUUCAUUUUUAACAGUUCCUUUUUUUUUAAUAUCACGGAAUAGAUAUAAGGAGUUUGAUUUAAACGCGAGAACUUCAAUCGCAAAGCUACAAAUGUAAGUCAGUGUAAGUCAAUAUGGUAUACAUAUAUAGAACGUCAACGACGACGUUCAGACGGUAAUACGGUACAUCUGGCUUUUAAAUAAUAGAAAAGCUUCAACGUCAUACUACUCUUUAUCUAACUUAUACUUUUUCUUAUUUUUUUUUUUCUUUUUUAUUUUUGCACUGAAAACUUUCCAACUCUAACUGUAUAUACAUAUCUAUAAAGUAUAUAUAAAGAUUAUUUUAUAAGCUCGUAACUUAGGUUUCCGUAUUUUAGUACUUAUACAUAUAUACAUUUUUAUUUGGCUAACUCAAUCUGUAAUAUUUCGUAGGUUUCAUUGCAGAAAAAACUAUUAUUAUUUUAUAUUUUUAUAUUGCAACACAAACAUAUAUAUUUUUUAAUUAUAAGUAAUAGAUUGUAUUACAAAUCACUGACUAUGGGACAAAUUUAUAUGACAAUUUGUUAUUAUAAAAAAAAAAGGAAGAAAAAAAAUCAGUUUCAUAAGGAAACAAAAAGUAUUACAGAACUCGUUAAACGAAAAAGAUUUGUAAAAACGCAAUAUUUUCGAAGAAAAAUGUAAUUAAGAAAGCAAAAGGAAACAAGAAAAAAGAUAAAAGAUAUGAAAAUAAUGUCUCGUAAAUGAGAAUUACGUUUUACCAUACACACACACAUACACACACAAUUAUUCAUAUACACAUACUUGUAAAUACUUGUUCCGUUACACGAUCGUAAGUCUGUCAACUAUCAAUUUCCGUUUUGAAUUAGUAAAGUUAUAACGUAUAUGCGGAUCGCUCGAACGAAUGAUCAUCUCCGGUCGUCUGGCCAACGAGGAAGCUUCUAAGAAAUUCAGAUUCUUUUACCGACAUCCUAUUGCUUUUUUUAUUCUAUCGAGAUCAUUGAUUCGGUCAGAACAGUGGUUCCUUUAUAAAAAUCAUAAAUACGAAUCGAAAAUUCACUGAAAUUUUUAGGGGAAAAUUUGUGAUACAAAUUCUUUUUUUUGUUAACAACUUUUUUUGUUAUCGAGAUUGCUGAUUGAUCGAAACAGAUUCUUUAUAGAAAUCAUAAAUACGUAUUAAAAAAUUUCUCAAAUUUUUCGAGGAGCUUGUAAGAAAAUUAAAUUCUUUUACCAACCUUCUAUCGAUUAUUUUUUGGCUAUCGAAAUUGCUGAUUGGUCGAAACAGUAGUUCUUUAUAAAAAAAAUAUAUAACUAACAAUAAAUCACUGUCACUUUUUUCAGAGAAAGUUUAUGAAAAAUUCAAAUUCUUUUACUGACAUCCGAUUGGUCAUUUCUUUUUCUAUUGAGAUAGCUGAUUGGUUGAAACAGUGGUUCUCUUAAAAAAUUAUGAUACAAGUCUCGAUAAAUCACUGCAAUUGUCUGGACAACGAAAUUGUCAUUAUUCAUUGUUUCAACUAAUACUCGUAAUAUACUGAUGAAGGAGAGUCAUAUUUGAGAAUCACUGUGCAUUGCCGAGGCAUCUCUGGUAAAGCCUUCUUACGUAACUAGGGCUGCACCCACUCUCGUUACUUCCUCGAUCGUCGUGAGCGAGCAACCGCAACGGAUAUUAGUCGAAUUGUUCUUUUGUAACCAUCGAUAAUCGAUUAGUUCGAGGAAUCGAUUUACAAGGAGCGUUAAUCGAAUAACAAAUCGAUUAAACUAACCCCGAUUGAUAUCGGAUCGAUCAGAUUCAAUCCGUAACACAAAAAAUAAUGUUUCUAUGUGGGUGUGUUUGUGUGCGUGAAUAAUUACUUUUUAUUUUAAUUUAAUAUAUAUAUAUAUAUGUGUGUGUAUAUAUAUAUGUGUGUAUAUAUGUAUAACAAAAAAGAAGAAAUAUUUUUAUAUUUACAUAUCAAUGUAUCCGAGGUUAUGAAGUUGUGAAUGAGAACCGAUAUCGAUCUACCUUUGAAACGAUACCAGGAAUGAAAUCCGAUCGUUAACGAACGAUUACGAAGGAGACCGAAGGAACGCGCUUGGAAACAAUCAAAUGGAUUCGCCGGCAUAUGGCGAAUCCUGUUAUAUUCACGACGAAUGUUCAACGUUCGGUUAUGAUCAAGAAACACAAAAAAAAGAAAUAUCAAUACAACAAGAAAAGAGAUAAUAAACUGCUAGUAAACUAAGAAAUACAAAUUUAACUAGAAACAAAUUAAUAUUAUUGUUAUUGAGAGAAUGGUGAAACUUGUAUAUAUUCGAUCACAAAAACGAAAAAUAUAUUAGAAAUCGCAUUAUUCGAAACCUUUUCCUUAUAACGUUUUCACAUUUAACCUACACGUAUUUAAUGUGUAUAUAUAUAUAUACAACAUAUAUAGGCAUAUAUCGAGAAAAGAAAUUUCAAAAUGGUUGAUGAUAAUAAUUAUAUUAAAUAAUUAUAUUGCGAAGAAAGAAGAAACAAAAAAGAAAGAUACAUGAAACGUUUCUUUCUUUUUACAUUCCUUCUUCUUUUUUUCUUUAUUCGAGAAUCUCGCACAAAGAAGAGGAUAAUAGCGUGUUCGCCAAAGAUCUCUAACCUAUAAAAAAAAAAAAAAAAAAAAAAAUGGAACCUCUCUUCUCUCUUCUCUCCUCGUUGCCUUCUUCGUGGUAAUUCAAAAAAUUACCAUCGAAAAAAAGGAGACAGAUAUAAAAAGAAAGAGAGGGAGAGAGUGAGAGACAAAGAGAGACAAAGAGAGAGGAGCAGAAAAAGAAAGAAAAAAGAAAGAAAAAAAGAAAAAAAUUAAGUAUGUCUGACUCACCUUUAUUGGUAGAGGUAAGAAGAGAAGAUAAGACGACAGAAUCCGUCGGUAGGUAGUAUGUAGGUUGUGCAGUGGUAGAUGCUGCAACGCAAGUUUUGCUUGAUGAUUAUUCGUUCGGUCGUUUUCUCUCUUUCUCUCUCCUCUUUCUCCGUUGAAUCUUCUCUCCGAGAGUAUGCCGUCAGAUACGUCUCGUGUGAUCACCGUUCGGCUACCAAGUGCCCGCGUCGCGGAAUAAACUCGCCUCGCGACAGCGACCGAAGUGAGCCAACCCCCCACCCUAACCUUUCCUUCCUUCCUUCCUUCCUUCCUUCCUCCCUUUACUCCCUUUUCGACAUGACUCGUCUCAUCUCGUCCCGCCAGAUUGCGCACCGCACGUUUUACGUUCCAUCGUUUCGCUGUUUCAAUUCUGAUCGUCAUUUAUUUUUUUACUUUUCAUUUCUUUCCUUCUUUUUUUCUUUCUUUUUAUAUUAAUAAUUAUUAAUAAUCAUAGUGCUAAUACAGUAAUUAUUAUUAUUGUUGUUAUUAUUGUUAUUGUUGUCGCGAGUUAUUCAAUAGGAUUAAUUUUAUAGAAUACACAGAUGAAUUUAAUGCUUUGUUAAUCUUUCGUACGGAAAAAAUCGUGGUUAGUUUCACGUUCUUUUUUUUGUGUAGUGGGUAUAUAUGUAUAUAUAUAUAUAUGUAUGUAUGUAUGUAUGUAUGUGUGUAUUCGUAGAUUCGACGCAACGAAGAUUUUAUGAGUUAUAUGGGAGACUGUAGUUGAGUCACCUGGCAGGUUCCAAGUUCGUUCUCGACCUGCUUACUCGAGAGACCGGAUCGAGCCCGAUCUCCUGUAUAUAUGUAUGUAUGUAUGUACAUAGUAGCUAACUGUAGGGGCCAAGGUCUUUCCUUACUACUUCAUAUGAAUCAUCUUUCCUUUGGUUUCGUUUACAUAGUUUCCUUUGAAAACGAAAAUCGUACUUUGCAUGUAAAGUUUUCAUUAUUUCCCGUGGUAAAAAAAAUGAACUUUAAUCUAUAUUAUAAAUUUAUUUCCUUCGAAGAAAUUUUUACAUUCCAUUGAAAUAAAAUAUAUCUAUAUAAAUUUUACCGAGCGAUCUUUAUGUUCCAAUUUCAAAAUGUUCCUCUCGUUUAAAUAAACUCGACACACAUACACACAUAUACACACAUAUAUAUAUAUAUAUAUUACACGUACAGCUCGUAUGUGGAAAUAUUUAUAUAUAAAUACUUAUGUAUGAAUCCGAGUUACGCGUGACGUAGCUUCCGGAGAACACUGGAAUUCCGUUUAUAGGAAUGAGCCGGCCAGUUGUGAAAUCAGCUGCACACAAACUCUCCAAGCAUUGUUGUAGGUCGUGCUAGGAUUUAUCUCUCGGUUUAGUCUGUCUGUCUGUCUGUCUGUCUGUCUGUCUGUCUGUCUAUCUAUCUAUCUAUGUCUCUCUUUCUCUCUCUUUCUGUUCUCUCAGAGUGCCAACUUCCCCUCUUACCACCCGUCGCCAUCCUCUUUUGGCCUAGAGAGAAGACCGAGAGCACAGCGCAGAAGUGUGGAAUGUGGGAUGCGAGAGGGGUGACAGAGAGGAAAGGGGAAUAUUAAAGCUGUUUGAUUUGUUGGCUCCGAGUCAAGAUGACGAUGACGAUUAUGAUUAUGAUGAUGAUAGUGAUGAUGGCGAUGACGACAACGACGACGACGACAACGACAACGACGACGAUGAUGGCGACGAAAGUGUCAAUGUCAAAGUAUUUUACCAGAUGGAAAGCCCAGAAGUUCUGAGGUGAUAUUAACGAUCAAUGUAUAUACGUAUAUAUGUGUGUAUAUAUAUAUAUAUAUAUCUAUCUCGAGAUAUUUCAGACUACUUGUUUACAAAUGUUAAAACUACAAGGACCAAUGUGUAAUACUACAAGUCUUAAUACUAGCAGCCUAAAAUAUCUAAAGAAUAAGAACAAUUGAUUUCUAAAAUCAGAUAAUAAUUUUUGGCCCACCUUAUAUUAGAACAAGUGUAUCUUAAAAGAGUAUUUCUUACGUAUCGUAAUCUCACGUUGAAUGUUCCGUGAAAGUAAUCAAUUUAUAUCACUGAUCAAGUAUUUGCUUCCUUUCUUCAGGUAUAUACAUAUUAUAUAUACACAGGUGUAUGUACACAUAGUGACUGAGAGAGGGAUAGAGAGAGAGAGAGAAAGAAAGAGAUAGAUAGAUAGAUAGAUAGAUAGAUAGAUAGAUAGAGAUAGAGAGAGAAAAAAGAAGAGAUGAUUGAAGAAAAGAUAAAGCAGAGUUAAAAGUUGCCAAUACACGAUUUAACCCGGCAAAAGAAAUAUGUGUGUGUGCCAUAAAGAUUUGAGAAUAUCCACGUAGUUUCCCCGGUACGAAAAUAUACAUAAGCAGAUAUAUAUACAUGUAGCGUGUGUGUAUGUAUAUAUAUAUACAUAUGUAUAUAUUGUAUGUCUGGCUAAAGCUUCAGAUUGUCAGCUCUGCCAAGUCUCGAAUAGUUGCCUCACAUACUUCUGUAAUUUGUACAUUUUUCUAUGUAAAUAUAUAAUACCUCAUUAAAUUUUUAA